ACUCAAAUGAAUUGACGGGGGCCCGCACAAGCAGCGGAGCAUGUGGUUUAAUUCGAAGCAACGCGAAGAACCUUACCUAAACUUGACAUCUCCUGAAUUACUCUUAAUAGAGGAAGCCCUUCGGGGCAGGAAGACAGGUGGUGCAUGGUUGUCGUCAGCUCGUGUCGUGAGAUGUUGGGUUAAGUCCCGCAACGAGCGCAACCCUUAUCGUUAGUUGCCAUCAUUAAGUUGGGCACUCUAGCGAGACUGCCCGGGUUAACCGGGAGGAAGGUGGGGAUGACGUCAAAUCAUCAUGCCCCUUAUGUUUAGGGCUACACACGUGCUACAAUGGAUAGUACAAAUAGACGCAAGACCGCGAGGUGGAGCAAAUCUAUAAAACUAUUCUCAGUUCGGAUUGUAGGCUGAAACUCGCCUACAUGAAGUUGGAGUUGCUAGUAAUCGCGAAUCAGCAUGUCGCGGUGAAUACGUUCCCGGGCCUUGUACACACCGCCCGU
rnacentral:rRNA from 1 species